CUUAAGUGGGGAAUAACGCAUCGAAAGGUGUGCUAAUACUGCAUAAUCUCUGAGGAGAAAAGCAGGGGAUCGCAAGACCUUGCGCUUUUGGAGCGGCCGAUGUCUGAUUAGCUUGUUGGUAAGGUAAAAGCUUACCAAGGCUUCGAUCAGUAGCUGGUCUGAGAGGACGACCAGCCACACUGGGACUGAGACACGGCCCAGACUCCUACGGGAGGCAGCAGUGGGGAAUUUUGGACAAUGGGGGCAACCCUGAUCCAGCCAUGCCGCGUGAGUGAAGAAGGCCUUCGGGUUGUAAAGCUCUUUCAGCCGGAACGAAACGGUUACGGUUAAUACCCGUGACUACUGACGGUACCGGAAGAAGAAGCACCGGCUAACUACGUGCCAGCAGCCGCGGUAAUACGUAGGGUGCGAGCGUUAAUCGGAAUUACUGGGCGCAAAGCGUGCGCAGGUGGUUUUGUAAGUCAGAUGUGAAAUCCCCGGGCUCAACCUGGGAACUGCGUUUGAAACUACAAGGCUAGAGUGUGGCAGAGGGGGGUGGAAUUCCGCGUGUAGCAGCGAAAUGCGUAGAGAUGUGGAGGAACACCGAUGGCGAAGGCAGCCCCCUGGGUCAACACUGACGCUCAGGCACGAAAGCAUGGGGAGCAAACAGGAUUAGAUACCCUGGUAGUCCAUGCCCUAAACGAUGUCAACUAGUUGUCGGGCCUUAACGGGCUUGGUAACGUAGCUAACGCGUGAAGUUGACCGCCUGGGGAGUACGAUCGCAAGAUUAAAACUCAAAGGAAUUGACGGGGACCCGCACAAGCGGUGGAUUAUGUGGAUUAAUUCGAUGCAACGCGAAAAACCUUACCUACCCUUGACAUGUAUCGAAGCCCGCAGAAAAGCGGGGGUGCCCGAAAGGGAACGAUAACACAGGUGCUGCAUGGCUGUCGUCAGCUCGUGUCGUGAGAUGUUGGGUUAAGUCCCGCAACGAGCGCAACCCUUGUCAUUAAUUGCCAUCAUUUAGUUGGGCACUUUAAUGAGACUGCCGGUGACAAACCGGAGGAAGGUGGGGAUGACGUCAAGUCCUCAUGGCCCUUAUGGGUAGGGCUUCACACGUAA
rnacentral:rRNA from 1 species